GAUGAACGCUGGCGGCGUGCCUAAUACAUGCAAGUCGAGCGAACAGACGAGGAGCUUGCUCCUCUGACGUUAGCGGCGGACGGGUGAGUAACACGUGGAUAACCUACCUAUAAGACUGGGAUAACUUCGGGAAACCGGAGCUAAUACCGGAUAAUAUAUUGAACCGCAUGGUUCAAUAGUGAAAGACGGUUUUGCUGUCACUUAUAGAUGGAUCCGCGCCGCAUUAGCUAGUUGGUAAGGUAACGGCUUACCAAGGCAACGAUGCGUAGCCGACCUGAGAGGGUGAUCGGCCACACUGGAACUGAGACACGGUCCAGACUCCUACGGGAGGCAGCAGUAGGGAAUCUUCCGCAAUGGGCGAAAGCUUGACGGAGCAACGCCGCGUGAGUGAUGAAGGUCUUCGGAUCGUAAAACUCUGUUAUUAGGGAAGAACAAAUGUGUAAGUAACUAGGCACGUCUUGACGGUACCUAAUCAGAAAGCCACGGCUAACUACG
rnacentral:rRNA from 1 species